GGGGAGAUCCUGUUUGGCAUUAAGUUGUCGGGCAGGGGAUACCCAUCGUUUACUGUGAAAAAAUUAGAGUGUUUAAAGCAGGCUUAUGCCGUUGAAUAUAUUAGCAUGGAAUAAUAAGAUAGGACUUCGGAACUAUUUUGUUGGUUUGCGUUACGAAGUAAUGAUUAAUAGGGACAGUUGGGGGUAUUCGUAUUUCAUUGUCAGAGGUGAAAUUCUUGGAUUUCUGAAAGACGAACUACUGCGAAAGCAUUUACCAAGGAUGUUUUCAUUAAUCAAGAACGAAAGUUAGGGGAUCGAAGAUGAUUAGAUACCAUCGUAGUCUUAACCAUAAACUAUGCCGACUCAGGAUUGGCGGUUGUUUUUUGACUCCGUCAGCACUG
rnacentral:rRNA from 1 species